GAUGAAGAACGUAGCGAAAUGCGAUAAGUAAUGCGAAUUGCAGAAUUCAGUGAAUCAUCGAAUCUUUGAACGCACAUUGCGCCCGCCAGUAUUCUGGCGGGCAUGCCUGUCUGAGCGUCGUUUCGACCCUCGCGCCCGGCUUCUGUCGGGGGCGGUGUUGGGGAUCGGCCACACCCUUCAGUGGGAGGCCGGCCCCUAAAUUCAGUGGCGACCACGCUGUAGCCUCCCCUGCGUAGUACUAAAACCACCUCGCAGGCGGAGUGCGGUGCGGCCCGCCGUAAAACCCCCCAACUUUUACAAGGUCGACCUCAGAUCAGGUAGGAAUACCCGCUGAACUUAAGCAUAUCAAUAAGCGGAGGA
rnacentral:misc_RNA from 1 species